AGGUUUCCGUAGGUGAACCUGCGGAAGGAUCAUUAACGAAUUCAUGAUUCGGCGAGGGCAAGGCGGAGGGUUGUAGCUGGCCUUUUCACCGAGGCACGUGCACGCUCUCUUCCGAACUCUCGCCGUAUGGGGCGNGGGGCGACCCGCGUCUUUCAUCUCACCUCUUCGUGUAGAAAGUCUUUGAAUGUUUUACCAUCAUCGAGUCGCGACUUCUAGGAGACGCGAUUCUUUGAGACAAAAGUUUAUUACAACUUUCAGCAAUGGAUCUCUUGGCUCUCGCAUCGAUGAAGAACGCAGCGAAUCGCGAUAUGUAAUGUGAAUUGCAGAUCUACAGUGAAUCAUCGAAUCUUUGAACGCACCUUGCGCUCCUCGGUGUUCCGAGGAGCAUGCCUGUUUGAGCGUCAGUAAAUUCUCAACCCCUCUCGAUUUGCUUCGAGAGGGCGCUUGGAUGGUGGGGGCUGCCGGAGACCUGGAUUCAUCCAGGACUCGGGCUCUCCUGAAACGCAUCGGCUUGCGGUCGACUUUCGACUUUGCGCGACAAGGCCUUCGGCGUGAUAAUGAUCGCCGUUCGCCGAAGCGCAUGAAUGAACGGUCCCGCGCCUCUAAUCCGUCGACGCUCUUUCGAGCGUCUUCCUCAUCGACGUUUGACCUCAAAUCAGGUAGGAC
rnacentral:rRNA from 1 species